CCUACGGGAGGCAGCAGUGAGGAAUAUUGGUCAAUGGGCGGGAGCCUGAACCAGCCAAGCCGCGUGAGGGAAGAAGGUACAGCGUAUCGUAAACCUCUUUUGUCAGGGAACAAAGGCGGGGACUAGUCCCCGGAUGAGGGUACCUGAAGAAAAAGCAUCGGCUAACUCCGUGCCAGCAGCCGCGGUAAUACGGGGGAUGCGAGGGUUAUCGGGAUUUAUUGGGUUAAAGGGGUGCGCAGGCGGCCUGUUAAGUCAGCGGUAAAAGCCCGGGGCUCAACCCCGAGGAGCCGUGGAAACUGGCGGGCUGGAGUUGGAGAGAGGUAAGCGGAAUGCGCGGUGUAGCGGUGAAAUGCUUAGAUAUCGCGCAGAACACCGAUUGCGAAGGCAGCGUACCGGCUCCAAACUGACGCUGAGGCACGAAAGCGUGGGUAUCGAACAGGAUUAGAUACCCUGGUAGUC
rnacentral:rRNA from 1 species